UACGUAGGUGGCAAGCGUUGUCCGGAUUUAUUGGGUUUAAAGGGUGCGUAGGCGGGCUAUUAAGUCAGAGGUGAAAGACGGCUGCUCAACAGUCGCAGUGCCUUUGAUACUGGUAGUCUUGAGUGCAGACGAGGUCUGUGGAAUUUAUGGUGUAGCGGUGAAAUGCUUAGAUACCAUGAAGAACACCAAUUGCGAAGGCAGCAGACUAGGGUGCAACUGACGCUGAGGCACGAAAGUGUGGGGAUCAAACAGG
rnacentral:rRNA from 1 species